rnacentral:rRNA from 1 species
UACAGAGGGUGCAAGCGUUAAUCGGAAUUACUGGGCGUAAAGCGUGCGUAGGUGGUUUGAUAAGUUGGAUGUGAAAGACCUGGGCUCAACCUGGGAAUUGCAUUCAAAACUGUUUUACUAGAGUCUGAGAGAGGAAGGUGGAAUUCCCGGUGUAGCGGUGAAAUGCGUAGAGAUCGGGAGGAACAUCAGUGGCGAAGGCGGCCUUCUGGCUCAAGACUGACACUAAGGCACGAAAGCGUGGGGAGCAAACAGG